rnacentral:piRNA from 1 species
UGACUGCCUCAUCUCCUCCAGCUCUGU